rnacentral:tRNA from 1 species
AAAAAGAUAAGCUAAAUAAGCUCUUGGGUUCAUACCCCAACUAUAGAAGUAAAUUCUUCUUCUUUUUA